rnacentral:sRNA from 1 species
AUGAAAAAGGGCAAUAAUCCAAAUUUAUUACCGUAUGGUGGAAGUGAUCCUUUAAAGGUCAUGGGUCAUUGUCAGCUGAGUGUCGAGACAAAAAGUACUAUUGACUGUGACACUUUCUAUGUAGUUGAAGGAAAUCAUGGAGCUUUAUUAGGAUAUCCACUUGCAAGCAAGCUAGGGCUUGUGAAGAUAAUAAACCAAAUUACAGAUCCUAAAGAAAAAUAUCCAAAAUUAUUUCAAGGCAUAGGCAAAUACAAGGGAAAACCAAUCAAAUUGCACAUCAAUGAAGAUGUGAAACCAGUAGCGCAGAGACACCGCAGGACACCAUUUCACCUUCGUGAUAAGGUUGAAAAAGAACUUGUGAAAUUGCAAGAGCAAGAUAUCAUUGAGAAAAUAGAAGAUACACCUACACCUUGGGUAUCACCGAUAGUGACCCCACCCAAGAAAAACCCAGACGAAAUUAGACUGUGUGUUGACAUGCGUCAGCCAAAUAAAGCUAUAUCUCGUGAACGUCAUCUUUUACCAACUAUUGAUGAACUUAUACAUGACUUAACUGGAGCAAAACUCUUCACAAAGCUGGACCUACGGUCAGGAUAUCACCAGCUGGAACUCCAUCCUUCGUCCCGUUAUAUAACAACAUUUAGUACACAUGCAGGUCUAUUUCGCUACAAACGUCUCAAUUUUGGCAUAUCAUCAGCGUCAGAAAUUUUCCAAGAAGUAAUACGCAAUGUUAUAAGUGGCAUACCUGGAGUUAAAAACAUUUCAGACGACAUAAUCAUUUAUGGUAGAUCACAGGCAGAACAUGAUAAAGCAUUAGAUGCCACAUUCAAGAGGUUACUUGAAAAUGGACUAACUUUAAAUCUUGAAAAGUGUGAGUUCAAUAAAGAUCAAGUAGUGUUUUUCGGGGUUACAUUUUCGAAAGAAGGCAUUUCGCCAGAUCCAAAGAAGGUUAGCGCAAUCAAAGACAUGUCUCCACCGAAAAAUGUACCAGAACUACGUAGCUUUCUAGGUAUGACUACAUACUCAUCUAGAUUCAUACAGAAUUAUGCAACAUUAUGCGAGCCGUUAAGAAGACUAACACGUCAAGAUACAAACUGGAACUGGGGCUCCGAACAAGAAGCAGCUUUCGAAAAGUUAAAAUGUGAACUAUCUAGUGACACUGUAAUAACAUAUUUUAAUCCAAAACAUGAGAUUGAUAUUUUAGUAGAUGCCAGUCCUGUCGGCCUUGGGGCAAUAAUGUCACAAGAAGGAAAGACUGUAGCUUAUGCAAGCAGGAGUCUUACUGACACAGAAACAAGGUACAGCCAAACUGAAAGGGAAGCUCUCGCUAUUGUUUGGGCAUGUGAACACUUUGAUAUGUACAUAAGAGGUGCACCAAACGUGAACAUUAUAACAGAUCACAAGCCACUAGAGCGUAUUUGGCAGAAACCAAAGCCACCACUGAGAAUUGAACGUUGGGGUUUGAGAUUACAACCUUACAAACUUAAGAUAACAUAUCAACCAGGAAGUGAAAAUCCUGCAGAUUUUAUGUCAAGACAUCCAUCAGACAACCCUGUCAAAUCCCGGGAACAAUCUAUAGCAGAACAGUAUGUGAGAUUUGUUAUGUCUGAAGCAGUCCCUCGUGCAAUGACACUUGAUGAAGUUAAAAUGGCUUCUUCAAAGGAUAAAACUAUUCAAAAGGCAAUAGAAUUCGUAAGAACUGGACAAUGGUUUAAAAUCAAAAACAUAACAGAUCUGGAAAUUGACAUUGAGGAAUUACAAGCAUUAAGGAGCAUCAGUGGUGAACUUGUAACCUAUGGUGACACUAUUUUACUCAGAGACAAUCGUAUUGUACUCCCAUCUGAACUCCGUGUGCGAGCUGUUAACAUUGCGCAUGAAGGUCAUCAGGGUAUCACCAAAACUAAAGCAUUCUUACGUUCCAAGAUAUGGUUUCCAGGACUUAACGACAGAGUUGAUAAUGCAAUUAAAGACUGUUCAGCAUGUCAAUCUGUUACACACACCAAAAGAAUUGAACCGUUAAGAAUGUCUGAAUUGCCAGAAAAGCCAUGGACAAAUUUGAGUGCUGAUUUUUGUGGUCCAUUACCUAGCGGAGACCUCUUAUUCGUUAUUACAGAUGAAUAUUCACGUUAUCCAGUAGUUGAAGUAAUUAAAUCGGACUCUGCUUCAACUGUUGUUCCUGUUUUGGACAAAGUUAUUUCUACUUUCGGAAUUCCUAAAGUAAUCAAAACAGAUAAUGGUCCUCCGUUUAACUCUCAUGCAUUCAGACAAUAUGCUGAGAAUACUGGAUUUGAACAUCGCCGUGUAACACCAUUAUGGCCGCGUGCCAAUGCCCAGGCCGAAUCAUUUAAUAAACCAAUGAUGAAGACAAUUAAAGCAGCUCAUGUGGAAAGAAAAAGCUGGAAACAAGAACUAUUUAAAUUUCUCAGACAAUUUAGAGCAACUCCACACACAAGCACAGGUUACCCGCCGUUUCAGUUAUUAUUCAACAGGGAACCAGUAACGAAACUUCCACAAGUGCACAAACCUAACAUUACCAACAAACAAAUGGAUGAAAAUGCACGACAAAAAAUGAUGAAAGUGAAAAAUGCAAAAUGA